GGGUGAUAGUCCCGUACACGAAAACACACUUGCUGUGAACUCGAAGAGUAGGGCGGGACACGUGGUAUCCUGUCUGAAUAUGGGGGGACCAUCCUCCAAGGCUAAAUACUCCUGACUGACCGAUAGCGAACCAGUACCGUGAGGGAAAGGCGAAAAGAACCCCGGCGAGGGGAGUGAAAAAGAACCUGAAACCGUGUACGUACAAGCAGUGGGAGCCUCUUUAUGGGGUGACUGCGUACCUUUUGUAUAAUGG
rnacentral:rRNA from 1 species